AUGUUCCCACUGAAUUACUUAACAAUGUAUUCCUGUAGGACAGCCAAAAGAGGUGCACAGAGAUCAAUGCUUAUCAUCAAAAUGGCCCAGCAUUUUCAUUUUGCACUGGCCCUGCAAAUGAUGAAGCCAUGCCAGGAAGAACUGGUCACCCCGUUGAGGGCCCCAUGGUUUGUGAGUACUCUGAUGCACACACAGUCUUCAUCUGCCCUUGGGGCCACCAGCCCUGCUUCUGGCCGCCACCUGGAUGCUUGGUCAGGGCCAGACUCCUGUUCUCAUCCAGAACACAUGCCGAACGAAGGCCCAGAAACUGAGCCAGGGACCCUCGCUGGCUUCCAGGAGCAGAAGGCAUUCAGGACACCAGCUCAGACUCUGAUCACUACUGUCACCUGUGGCAAUUAAUCAUUACCUGAACACAAGGAACGUACAACACAGCAGUGGCCUCAGGCUGCCCAGGUUCAAAUUCCAGCUCAGCCAUCGACUUGAUCACCUUGGGAAAAAAUUAAUUAAUAAAUACCUACAGCUUCCUUACUGUACUAUACUG
rnacentral:lncRNA from 1 species